UGGGGAAUAUUGCACAAUGGAGGGAACUCUGAUGCAGCGACGCCGCGUGAACGAAGAAGGCUUUCGAGUCGUAAAGUUCUUUUAUAUGGGAAGAUAAUGACGGUACCAUAAGAAAAAGCCCCGGCUAACUACGUGCCAGCAGCCGCGGUAAUACGUAGGGGGCUAGCGUUGUCCGGAAUCACUGGGCGUAAAGGGUUCGCAGGCGGAAAUGCAAGUCAGGUGUAAAAGGCAGUAGCUUAACUACUGUAAGCAUUUGAAACUGUAUAUCUUGAGAAGAGUAGAGGUAAGUGGAAUUUUUAGUGUAGCGGUGAAAUGCGUAGAUAUUAAAAAGAAUACCGGUGGCGAAGGCGACUUACUGGGCUCAUUCUGACGCUGAGGAACGAAAGCGUGGGUAGCAAACAGG
rnacentral:rRNA from 3 species